ACGAUAUAAUUGACACUGGACAAAAUACUUUACAACUCCUCAACUUUAUUAGUGCAAAACCAUCAAUGUAUGUUCACUUAAUCAACCAGCUGUUUUUUUUAAUCUGCAUUAAAGUUAUAUAAACAUUUAACAGUGCAAAUUGCUCGCUAACAGUUUAACCAAAAGGCAUUUCCAGUGGAAACCGGCCGACAUAUCCUCAGCAUAACCAUGUACAACAUCCACAAACCUUAAAAAGAGGCUCUACACACACAAUACAGUAAUAGACCCUGUGCACGAGACAAUGCUAACUUCCUGGUUUGAGACCGGAUGUGGGGUUGUACAUUUCCGGUAGCUUUACUUUGCGGUCAAUCGCUACUGCGAAGAUAUAUCCUCCACAAUCAUGUCCAAAACUCUAAAACGGAAAGAUGGUGUUAAGUUACAAAGAGAAGGUGGGAACGCUCACCGCUGCUGUGUCAUAAAAAAUCUAAUGAUCAGUUUAAAGAGUUUAGAUCGAUCAGCUGUUUACUUCACUCAACACAAGCAGAACUGCAUCGCUGCAGCAGAAGACACAUCGUCCACAUGCAGAAGCACAUCUCUGUGUAGUGACUGGUCUCAUGAUCUAAACAGGCAAAUGUUCAGCAUUCAAACUACAGGUGAAGAACAGUCAAACCAGAUGUUUCCCCGUUAUGUCGAGAUCAGCUCGUCAAGUACACACCUACACCUCCUUCUUGAGCUCUCAGCGAAGGCGGUCGCACUUUCUCCUCUCCUCCUCACCCUUAUCUUCCCUGCUUCGCCUCUAUGUCCUUGUCUUGUCUUGUGUGAAUUUACUUUCCCUGGAACAGUCUCUCACUGUCGUUCUCUAAACCUAAAAGAGAAUUAUGGAUUUGAUCAAAAGACUGACAACACCACGGAACAGAAGUUUGAUACCAUCAUGGGGAGGCUCGCAGCUCUUCAACGGGAGCUCGAGAGACCAGCCUCGGAGUGCUAGAAUUCGAGCUGCUCACAAAGGAGAAAUCAACAAUAUUCAACAUUUGGACACCACGGCGCCAGCUGCAGGCCCAAGGCUGGAGCCCACCAAAACAACUCCCUGAUAACGACUGUGUGAUGACUAUUCUUCCCGCCCCAUGAAGGACACCUGGAUUGGCUGGAGGACUGUUUACUUAGCCUGAUAGGCCGAAGGACACUGUCUCAGCUAAACUAUGGACACGCACACACACACACUUACACUGAUAAGCACUCACUCAUCCCCCUCCCUUUCCAACGCCUUCGAUGCUUGUGCCCUACCGGGGAUGAUAGCAGUCAACUGGACCAGCACAGAUGCUGCAGGACCGGAUGCGCUGUCUACGCCGGCUCUCUCUUACCCUUUACCCGCCCCUGUUGCUUGUCUCGUGUUUCUAUGGUGUAUUGAUAGUCAUGUGCUUUUGUGCUGAGGUGUUUUUUCUGUUAUCAAACUGUUCUUCCACCAGGAGCUCAGUCUGAGUGGAGUUUUUUUUUCUCCUCCUCUCACCUCAUGUAGUGUAUUUUCGUUGUUUUUUUCCUAUCAGCCUACCUUUCUGACAUGUCUGCCCAAUGUGAUGUUUGUGUAAAGUUGGUCAGAAGGUUCCUUUGUGAGUGCGCAUGCGCCAUUAGCGUGCUGCCUGCUGUAACCCUAAUUUCCCUCGGGAUGAAUAAAGUAUUCUGAUUCUGAUUCUGAUACACAGCAUGUUAACAAACCGUGAAAAAAGCCACACAAAAAACGAAUGACUGCUGGUAACGGUUUCUAUACAUUAGUAUGUAGGAAGGGUAUGUUGUGACUUACCUUCAAAAUUACAGCGGUCCCUCGCUAUAACGCGCUUCACCUUUCACCUCGCUGUUUCAGAUUUUUUAGUGCAAGUUUGCUUAUUUUUACAGCACAUUGUGUCCUGCGUCCUGAUCGCUGCAGACGAUCUCCUCUGUCUCUCCUGUACAGCACAGAAUUGCUGCAUCGAUGCUAGCAGUGUGACUCUGCAGUGCAGUGCUGUAUGUCCACGAUGUCCACCAAACGUUUUGCAUCGUCAAAAAUAAAAUCGGCUCCUUGAUUUCACCUCUCGCUGGUUAUUUUUAGAACAUAACACCCGCGAUAAACGAGGGACAGCUGAGAAAUAUAACAUUUGAAUCCCUUUUCUCUUUUGCUCUGAGGCGCGGGGGAAAUAUCAACAAGUCGAUGAACAUCAUUUACAGAUAUGUUGGGUAAAUGCCCGAGACAUCUAUAGAAAUGUAAAUCGCCGCUUGAUUCAUUUGCUUAACUUGUUUUGGACCGUAAACCAGGCGCGAAUAGGACACCGGAAACACAGCUCCCCACAGGAGUUUCCACACCGGAAGUAGCAUAUGCUAACGUGCACAUAGUCUAUAUUAUGUUGAAGCACACUACGUAUCACUCCGCGAGGCUCCGCCUACGAUAGCCGUAACGCUCCAACAAUCCAUCAAGCGGUGCGGCUUCGUAGCUCAGCAAAGUCGUACUGAAACAUCUGACAGAUUUUCGAGCACCGUGCACAUAAAAUCGUUUCGAGGUCAGUAAACACAACCAGAGUUCAUACAUAAGGCACACGGGAUUAUAAGGGGCUCUGUCGACUUUUCAGAUUUUAAGUGCGCCGUAUUUUCCAAACAACACGGUAAUAACGGCGGCCCGCUAGCAUGCUCCACCAAAAAUAGUGCUUUGUUGUGUAUCUGACGGACGAAAGCUAAACCAGUUCCACACCAGUGAAGCUGCAGCAUUUUUACAAACCAGUUCUGGUUCAUCCGUUUCAUUCAACGAUCCACUUUCGUCCUCCUCAUUCUGCGUCGCCGCCAUGAUUUUUCCGCCGUGUGCGUAUGAAAACAAAGGCACUGCGCAUGCACGUUUUACCCAUAUUCUAUCGCCAUGUUUCAUUUUCCUAUCAUUGCCCAACAUGACACCGGUGCUACCGUGAGCGGUAUGAUAAGAUAAGAUAACUUUUAUUAGUCCCACACGUGGGAAAUUUGUUUUGUCACAGCAGGAAGUGGACAGUGCAAAAGUUAUGAAGCAAAAAUUAGAAUACAAUAAGAAUAAAUACAGUACAGAAUAGAAUAGAAUAAAUACUAUAUACAUUAGAAUAAAAUAGAAUAAAAUAUACAAUAAGAUAAAAAUAGAAUACAAAUGCUAUACAACUGAGUAAAAAUACGAUGCCAGAAAAGUAUUGCACAUGUGUGGAUGUGUUUGAUCAGUUAAAGUCUUUGUUGUGGAGUCUGACAGCAGUGGGGAGGAAAGACCUGCGAAAUCUCUCCGUCCCACACCGUGGGUGCCGCAGUCUCCCACUGAAGGAGCUGCUCAGUGCUGUCACAGUCUGCUGCAUGGGGUGGGAGAUGUUGUCCAUCAGGGAUGACAGCUUAGCCGCCGUUCUCCUGUCACUCACCACCUCCACUGGGUCCAGAGGGCCUCCUAGAACAGAGCUGGCCUAGCCCUACUGUCACAGUUCAGCGUUGUUUGUCCGUCGCUUCUCCCGCCCUGAUCUCUGUCCUUCAGUCCAGCGUCAGUAAUGGAAAUGAACCAACGGGCUGUCCGGCUCACAGCAGGUAAUCUGCCUGGUAUGCCAGAUUACCCGUCCGGUGCCGGGAGGCAGACGGCUUGAGUGGAGGCUGACGGAGAGGCGAGUUUCCUAAAAGAGAUCAGCCUUGCGAUGUUACCGCACUUCACUGAGGCUCAGCCUUCAGCAGGUGUUUUGGAGACUGCUGAUCAGAAUUAUUGAUGGUUACAGAUGUAAAAAGGACCCCGUGGGUCUCUGUGUCACAGUGUACUGUAAUCCAGAUGUGACAGUAGCGAAGGUGUCCAGCAGGUGUGGCUGUGGAGCUGCUGUCAGGUGCAGUUCUGCCUCAGCGUCUCAGGCCCUCACAAACACAAACACUGUAGCUCCCUAACAACUGAAACCAUGUUGUGGACUCAGCUAAACUACAUUUAUUGUUUUUAUUUGUUAAUUUGAUAAAAUUCCUUUAUGGGCGUGUUUAUUGUGUUCGAAUAUCUUUGCUGCAUUUUAUAAAUCUGGCGUUUGUCAUAAAUACAGUGAUAUUGGAAAAAAGACAAACGAAUGAAAAGCCACUCUGGAAACCUGCUGAAGCUGAAGCUCAAAAUGAAGACUAGUAAGAAAAUAGGGGGCGGGGCUUUAUUCAUGUUUGAAUGCCUUUGAGACUCCGAACGUUUAUUUCAGUUUUUCUUUGCUGACUCUGCAGACUGUAAUGGAGGCUCCGGCCAGCAGGGGGCAGCAGGGGGCAGCAGGUGGUUUUACCUGAAGUCAUUACAGCUGAAGUUCUGUGUCUGUGAAUGAUGCAUGCUGGGAAAACGGACCGAGAGCCGCUGUGACAUCGGCACAGGUGGCUCUGCUCUCUGAUUUGAUCCUGAGCUGUGAUGUCAUCGGUGGCGCCUCAGCCACAAAGUUUCCUGACGGCGUCCUGUGUGAGCGCGGUGUCGGGAUGGUCUGUGGCUGUGCCGCAGUAAAGAGGAGGAGUUCUGAUCACGCGCCUCUGCGGUCUGUGAGCUCUGAUCCAGACUCUCCCAGCUGUGUCGUUCCAGCCAGUUUGGGACAAUUUGUUUUUAAUUUGCUGUUUAAAUGUUUUUAAACAGCCAAAUGCAGCAAAUCUCACACUGAUCAAAACUCUGCAAACUAAUGUUCAGUAUAUUUAUUUAUGCAUGGGAAUGAAAAAACUGGAAAUAAAUUAUUAAAUAUAUGAAUGAUUAAAUUACAGUUCUAUUAAUUUGACACACUUGUUCAAAUUUAAAUAGACUGGCGAGGAAAUGAUUAAGACGUAAACCUGAGGGGGGCUAAAUAAGUAUAAACAUAAGUGUAUACUUCUGCCUACUGCUUUUCAAACAGCUGAAUGGAUGAUGUUAUGGACUGUUGGUGAAUGUAUAUGUUCGAAAUAAAAAUGAACUGAACAUUGAAUAAAUUACUGAUUUACAAUUUAAAUUCAUGACACAUUUAAAAGAUUAUUUAAUGAUGUGUUUGAUUCAUUUUGGGACUCCUGGCCCUCCAUAUUAAAUGGUUAUGGGAGAUGCCCCCAAGGGUGGUGGAGAAUGACCGAGCUAAGAUCCUGUGGGACUUCCAGAUACAGACGGACAAAAUGGUGGUGGCUAACCAACCGGACAUAGUGGUGGUAGACAAACAGAAGCAGACGGCCGUAGUGAUCGAUGUAGCGGUUCCCAAUGACAGCAAUAUCAGGAAGAAGGAACACGAGAAGCUGGAGAAAUACCAAGAGCUCAGAGAAGAGCUCGAGAGGAUGUGGAGAGUGAAGGUAACGGUGGUCCCCGUGGUAAUCGGAGCACUAGGUGCGGUGACUCCCAAGCUAGGCGAGUGGCUCCAGCAGAUCCCGGGAACAACAUCGGAGAUCUCUGUCCAGAAGAGCGCAGUCCUGGGAACAGCUAAGAUACUGCGCAGGACCUUCAAGCUCCCAGGCCUCUGGUAGAGGACCCGAGCUUGAAGGAUAAACCGCCCGCAGGGGCGUGCUGGGAGUAAUUAUGUAUAUCUGUAUCUCAUAUAUACAGUGUUGGUCAAGUUACUUGAAAAAAGUAAUUAGUUACUAAUUAUUAAUUACUUCUUCAAGAAUGUAAUCCUGUUACUUUCCUGAUUACUUACUUUCAAAAGUAAUACUUAGUUACUUUUAAAAAACAUGAUGCUCCACCUGAAUAUGUAGUAAAGCAACAGACCCUUCAGCCCAGUUCUAUUUAUUCUGCAUAAUCAUCAUAUAAAAGUCUCUUUUUAAAACUUGUUUUACUCUGUUAACUUGAUGCAUCCAGCAAAAACUAAAUUCUGACUGAAGAAGCGUGUUUAACACUG
ensembl:lncRNA